rnacentral:rRNA from 1 species
CCUCGAUGUCGGCUCAUCGCAUCCUGGGGCUGGAGAAGGUCCCAAGGGUUUGGCUGUUCGCCAAUUAAAGCGGUACGCGAGCUGGGUUCAAACCGUCGUGAGACAGGUUGGUCUCUAUCUGCCGUAGGCGUUGUUGCUUGAGAGGAGUCUUUCCUAGUACGAGAGGACCGGAAAGAACGAACCUCUGGUGUACCAGUUGUUCCUGCCAAGGGCACUGCUGGGUAGCUAUGUUCGGAAGGGAUAAUCGCUGAAAGCAUCUAAGCGAGAAGCCCACCUCAAGAUUAGGCAAUAUGGCUUCCUGGAAGAUGACCAGGU